UUGAACGCUGGCGGCAUGCCUUACACAUGCAAGUCGAGCGGCAGCGCGGGGGCAACCCUGGCGGCGAGCGGCGGACGGGUGAGUAAUACAUCGGAACGUAUCCUUUCGUGGGGGAUAACCAGUCGAAAGACUGGCUAAUACCGCAUGAGAUCGAAAGAUGAAAGCAGGGGACCGCAAGGCCUUGCGCGAUUGGAGCGGCCGAUGUCGGAUUAGCUAGUUGGCGGGGUAAAAGCCCACCAAGGCUACGAUCCGUAGCUGGUUUGAGAGAACGACCAGCCACACUGGGACUGAGACACGGCCCAGACUCCUACGGGAGGCAGCAGUGGGGAAUUUUGGACAAUGGGCGCAAGCCUGAUCCAGCCAUGCCGCGUGUGUGAAGAAGGCCUUCGGGUUGUAAAGCACUUUCGGCCGGAACGAAAUCGCGCGGGCUAUUACCCCGCGUGGAUGACGGUACCGGAAGAAGAAGCACCGGCUAACUACGU
rnacentral:rRNA from 1 species